UUUUUUUUUUUUUUUCAAUGUUGUAUCCUCAGCUUCUAGAAUAGUACUAGAUACAUAGCACAUAUUCAAUAAAUAUUUAUUAAGCAAAUUAAUGAAUAUGGGGAAUAGGGAGAUGGGAAAAAUGGAUAAAGGGGAGUGGGAGGUACAGGCUUCCAGGUAUGGAGCAAGUGAUGGGAAUAAAAGGUACAGCAUAGGGGGGGAUAAAAGAAAAAAAAAUCAGUAAUUAUUUUCAUACCUUCAAAGAAAUCCAAAUUUGGCCUGUGACAUCAAAAAAUAUCCACAAAAAUAUGAUAUGCACAUGGUAUUGUGAGGAUUUGAUAUGAGAACUAACCACUUAAUAGUGGUGAUCUGAAUCAACACACAGCCUUUCAGGAAUUUAACUAUGAAACAUACAAUUUUGUAGUAAAAUGUAAAUUCAGCUAUUAAUACAGUAAUAGUGUGAUUUUUUUUUUUUUCUGAGAAAGACAAAGAGCGACUGUUAUAUUGCAAGAAAAUCCUUUGUGAGGCAUCUGAUGGCUCAGUUGGGUGUCUGCCUUCAGCUCAGUUCAUGAUCCCAGCGUCCUGGGAUAGAGCCCUGCACCAGGGCUCUGAUCUGUGGAGAGCCUGCUUCUCCCUCUCCCUCUGUCUGCAACACCUCCUGCUUGUGCUCUCUCUUUGUCAAGUAAAUAAAUAAAAUCUAUUAAAAAAAAAGAAGAAGAAGAAAAAGAAAAUCCUUUGUUUAUAAGCAGAAAGAUUUUAAAAACUCUUUGAAUGUCUGAAAGGAAGCAUUUUAUAUAUCUGAAAAAGUCAGUGAAAAAAAUCAUAAAACAUUAGCAAGUCAAAUCCAGAAGAAUAUAUAAAAAUAACAUAUAAUAAAAAUAAACAAAAUACAUUUUAAUAACUUUUAAAGAAAUGUAUUAUGACCAAGUUGAAUUUAUGCCAAGAAUCCAAAGGUGGUUUAAUAUUAGAAAAUCAACAAAAUUCACAUUAAUACAUUAAAAAGAAAAAUUAUCAUCUCAAUACAUGCAUGCAAGUAUAUAAUAAUUCAACCAUUCUCAUUAAAAAUGAAAACUUUGUGAACCUUAAUGUCUAAAUUCUGGUCAUUCAAAAUUAAAAAGAGGUUUUAAAUCUUCAAGUAGAGAUAUGAAAUUUGACACCAGAGACGGAAAAUUCUAAAUUCCUAAGAAAAUAAAUCACUUAAGAGCCUAUAAAUCAUUUAAAAAUUAUUGUUAACCAUGAAAAUCUCAAAGGGUCAGUAGAUAACUUGUUCUUAUCUAAAUGACCACUAUACUGAGAAAUGAUUCAUAGAACUUUAGCAGUCACUUAGCAAAGAUUCCUAUGCAGUAAGAAAAAAAAAAAAGAGAAUAGAAGAUACAAUAACUGGAGGGACGUCUGGGUAGCUCAGCAGUUGACUGACUUUGGCUCAGGGCAUGAUCCCUGGGUUCCAGAAUCAAGCUCUGCAUUAGGCUCCCUGUGAGGAGGAGCCUGCUUCUCCCUCUGCCUAUGUCUCUGCCUCCCUCUCUGUCUCUCAUGAAUAAAUAAAAAAAAUAAAAUAAUAAAAUAAAAUAAUAAAAUAAAAUAAAUAAAAUAAAAUAAAAAAAUAAAAUAAAAUAAAAUAAUAAAAUAAAAUAAUAAAAUAUAAAAUAAAAUAAAUAUAAAAUAAAAUAAAUAUAAAAUAAAAUAAAUAAAAUAAAAUAAUAAAUAAAAUAAAAUAAAAUAAAAUAAAAUAUAAAAUAAUAAAAUAAAAUAAAAUAAAAUAAAAUAAAAUAAAAUAAAAUAAAAUAAAAUAAUAAAAUAAAAUAAAAUAAAAUAAAAUAAAAUAAAAUAAAAUAAAAUAAAAUAAAAUAAAAUAGGGGCAGCCCCGGUGGCGCAGCGGUUUAGCGCCGCCUGCAGCCCAGGGCGUGAUCCUGGAGACCCUGGAUCGAGUCCCACGUCAGGCUCCCUGUAUGGAGCCUGCCUCUCCCUCUGCCUGUGUCUCUGCCUCUCUCUCUCUCUCUCUCUCUCUCUCUGCAUCUCUAUGAAUAAAUAAAUAAAAAUUUAAAAAAAUAAAAUAAAAUAAAAUAAAAUAAAAUAGAAGAUACAAUAACUGGAAAGAAACAUACAAAACUGUAAUUACUUGAAAGUGACAUAGAAAAUCUAAUGACAAUUAGAAUUAACAAUAAUUAAAACCAGUAGGAAAGUUCUGCAAAGUUACCAAACACAAAGUCAAUCUAUAAAAAGUCAACAGCACUGGUCUCACAUGUAAAGAGCUUAGGGGUUAUCAUCCCAUCCUCACAACAAGAAAAAAGCUAAAUAACUGAAAAUCAACAAUUCUUUUUAGAGCUAUCAGAAAAGUAAAGUCACACCACAACUAAUGUCCAGAUAGUGUUAGGAAAACUAGCUCAAUACUUGGCAUGCAUCAGAACAGCUGCAAAUGAAUAACAAAAAGACAGGGAAUCUCAAUAGAAAAACAGGCAAAGGAUUUAAGUAAGCAAAUCAUUUAAAGGAAGUUCAAAGGCAAAUAGGUGUAGAAAUCAGAGAAAUGCCCUAGAAUUAGAGAAAUACUAAUUGUAAUAUUGAGGUAAACCUUAACAUCCAUCAGAUUAAUAAAAAUUAAAAAUCAGGUAACAGCAGUUGUAGGUAAGAAAGUAAAGAAAUGAUAUCUCAUCAUCUACUGGAGGAGUGUAACUGAAGCAGUAUCACAGAAAAUAAUCUGACAAUACCUAAUGAAUUCCAUAUAUAUAUAUAUAUUAUCCUAUGCUCCAACAAUCACACAUCUGAGUAUAAACUAACACACAAACCAAAAGGCAACUUACAUGAGGAUAUUUACCAUGAGGAUAUUUACAAUUAUUUUGUAGUUACAGAAAGUUGAAAGUUACUUUAGGUGUCCAUCCUUAAGGGAAUAACAGAUAAGCAAAUGCAAUGGAUACAGAAUCUAAAAUACCGUACUACACUUAGAAGUAAUAUAGUAUAUGCAUAUGCAGCAACAAAAUACAUCUUAAAUAUUUAGAGUGAAAAGAGCUGAAACAAAGUAUGAUCUAUAAGACAAUACUGACAAUACCAUUUAUAUAAAUUAACACAAAGACAUACACAAAAAUAACACUUUAUUUUAUCAGGAUAUAUUAUAAACACCUUAAAGCAAAAGUCUUUGAGGAUAGAAUAAAUGGAAUAGGGUUGUGGAUAGUAAGAUAAAAAAUAAGUAAAAUGAUCCAAUGGAGGAGUCAUGCACCAAUGAUAAUAGGGUAUCCACAAUUAAGGAGAAUUAUUAAUUGAAUUCUAUACUUGAGUUUCAAAUGAAAUGAAGAAACCAAUAAUAAUAAAAAAGUAAAACUUAUAAUAAUAACAAAAAAGAAACCCUAUUAGGGAUCCCUGGCAGAUACACAGUCUUAAUUCCUACUCCUCAAUGGAAAUACCCUCAAUAAUUUUGAAAGUUAAAUAAUUAAUCUUUGUAUGAAAAUUAUUCAUAAAUUUUGGUCAUUCAGGCAUUGAUUUGACAUUGCUAUUUUAUUAGACAUUGCUACAUUCAUCUACCAUGACCAAAAUAUGAGAAUUUUUUUUUACCCAUAGUAGCCACAAAAUUAAUAUCUGUUGUUCUCAGGUUGGGACAUUUGUAACAAAAGUAAUAAAAGUUUAUUUACUGAACUACAACUUAUUACAUACCAAAAAGUAGUAGACACUUUCACAUUUUCCAAUUUAGCCCUUACUUUAGCACUCUAAGGUAGGCAUUAUAUUUUAUCCUCAUUUAACUGAUAGCAGACCUAAGGUUCAAAGAUAUGAAAUAAUCUGCCCAAGAUCAGACUAAAGCUAAAUGUUGAUACUGAAAGUCUAAUUACAAAUCUAUGCUCUUUCCACCCCUUAAUCUCUUCCUAAUCCUAAUCUCUUCUGCUAAACAACAUCAUUUCUUUAUGUCACAUAAACAAAAUCUUGAAUUCCAAGUAGCAGUGAAUGUUGACAAGUUCCCAUUUUCUUUAUUUUUAUAAAUAAUUCUUUUUAUAAGGAAUUAUGAUAUGUUGAGUUUUUUGUCUUUUUUUAAAGAUUUUAUUUAUUUGAGAGAGAGAGAGCUACAGAAAGUAUGAACAGGAGGUAGAGAAAGGGAGAGUGAGAAGCAGACUCCCCGCUGAGCAGGGAGCCUGACAUGGGGCGGGAUCCCAGGACCCUGAAAUCAUGACCUGAGCCAAAGGUAAACACUUAAUUGAGCCACUCAGGCCUCCCUCUCCUAGAGUUUUAAAGAACACCUGCUUAACCUCUCCAAACUCAAGUUCUUGAAAUAAUAUUAGUAAUACUUUUUAUAUCACAGGAUUGGUUUUAUUAACUGAGAUACUUUUAGUUACUGACCUAAUUUGUUAAUUGAGAUUCAAUAAGAUAAAACAAGCUUUUAGCAAAGUAUCUGGCAUAUAGUUAGUGCUAAAUAAUUAUUAUCAUCCACUAUUAACUUAUUAUAUUUUAUGAAUAUUUUAUUACUGAUAGGAUUUAAUCCUCUGAUAAAGAACCCAAAGUCCCUGUAACCUUCUACAGCACAGGAGGAUUACAUUCUUGGUCCUCAAUAUACAAUCAUAGAGCAUUACAACCUCAAUUUCAAAAGCAUCUACAAAAACAGUCUCUCUCUUCAUUAAUUUAAAAAUACAGGAAUUAUCUAACAACAGCUCAAUUAAACACUGGAAUCAUAGUAUUUUAAUUUUAUAGCAAAUAAUUUUUUAGGUUAGCCUGACAUCUAGUGGAAUGAUUGUAGCCAUCUAAAAGAUUUAAAAUACAUAACUUGAAAAAAAAAAAAAAAACUAAUAACAUUCCAUUAAAGGCCAAUAUAUGAUGUAAAUGUUUCAAAUAAAAAAGGGAAAUCAACUUGAGCAUUGCCUUAUUGUCAGGCACUGUACUAAAUGCUAUCAUAUAUCUUCUCUCAUUCAUUUGUUCAAAAUAAGUAUUUAGUGCCUGCUACAUGCUAGGCACUUAUUAUACAGAAUUUUUUAAAAAUUGAUAUGAUCCUUGUCCUUUUGGAGUUCAUAGACUAGUAAGCAAUAAGCUAUUAAACAAAUUAUUCUACAAGCUAUUAAAAUUAUAAAAUGUGUUUAGAGUUUAAAGGACUUUAGAAGAGAAUCCUUAACUUAGUAGGAAGUUCACAAAGGGCCUGAGGAAGUAAUAUGUAAGCCAACUUCUAAUGUAGCAAUGGGGAUUUAAGACAGAAGGAAUAGCACGUGUCAAGGUCCUGAGGUAGUAAAAGAUUUGCUGCCAAAUGAAUUCAAAGAAGGGCAGUGUGUCUAUAACUAUGAGGAAAACACACAGUACCAGAUCAGCUUAGAGAGGUCUAUGGGGGCCAGAUCAAGCAGGCCUUGCGAAAAAGUAGGCCUCGUUAAGGAUUCAUGAUUUAUCAUUUUAUCAUAUAUAAUGGAAGCCAUCUGAAGUAUCUAAGCAGAGAUAUGUGAUGAGUAAUAGGUUUUAAAAAAAAAAAAAAAAAAAAAA
rnacentral:lncRNA from 1 species